CCUAUGGGGUGCAGCAGUCGCGAAAACUUCACAAUGGGCGCAAGCCCGAUGAGGGAACUCCUAGUGCUAGCACUUUUUGUGUUAGCUUUUCUUCAGCGUAGAUAACUGAAGGAAUAAGGGCUGGGUAAGACGGGUGCCAGCCGCCGCGGUAAUACCUGCAGCCCAAGUGGUGGUCGAUUUUAUUGAGUCUAAAACGUUCGUAGCCGGUCUGGUAAAUCCUUGGGUAAAUCGGAAAGCUCAACUUUCCGAAUUCCGAGGAGACUGCCAGACUUGGGACCGGGAGAGGCUAGAGGUACUUCUGGGGUAGGGGUAAAAUCCUGUAAUCCUAGAAGGACCACCGGUGGCGAAGGCGUCUAGCUAGAACGGAUCCGACGGUGAGGGACGAAGCCCUGGGUCGCAAACGGGAUUAGAUACCCCAGUAGUCC
rnacentral:rRNA from 1 species